rnacentral:piRNA from 1 species
GGAAGAAAGGUCUAUCCCACCGUGU